rnacentral:rRNA from 1 species
GACGAACGCUGGCGGCGUGCUUAACACAUGCAAGUCGAACGGAAAGGCCCUGCUUUUGUGGGGUGCUCGAGUGGCGAACGGGUGAGUAACACGUGAGUAACCUGCCCUUGACUUUGGGAUAACUUCAGGAAACUGGGGCUAAUACCGGAUAGGAGCUCCUGCUGCAUGGUGGGGGUUGAAAAGUUUCGGCGGUUGGGGAUGGACUCGCGGCUUAUCAGCUUGUUGGUGGGGUAGUGGCUUACCAAGGCUUUGACGGGUAGCCGGCCUGAGAGGGUGACCGGCCACAUUGGGACUGAGAUACGGCCCAGACUCCUACGGGAGGCAGCAGUGGGGAAUAUUGCACAAUGGGCGGAAGCCUGAUGCAGCAACGCCGCGUGCGGGAUGACGGCCCUCGGGUUGUAAACCGCCUUCGCCUGUGACGAAGCGUGAGUGACGGUAAUGGGUAAAGAAGCACCGGCUAACUACGUG